CCCCGUGCUACCAGGAAACUCCCCAAGAAUCUGCCUUUCUAACAGAGCCCGAGUAUCAUUGAUGCUGGUCCAUGGCCCCAUUCUGAGGACCACUGGCUUGGAAAUGCAGGGCUCUAACUCUGGAAUCAUCUGGGUUCGGAUUCCACUGACAAGCUGUAUGACUUCAGACAAGUAACUUGAUUUCUCUUUGCCUCAGUUUCCUCAUCCAUAAAAUGGGGAAUCAGAAUUGAGCCAAAUGCAUGGGGUUGCUGCAAGCGAUAAGGGAGAGGCUGUGAUGCUGUGGCAACACCCAGCCCAGGGCCUGGCAUGUGGUAACCCCUCGAUCCUUGUCACCUCUUUUGUCAUGGAGAGGAAAGCAGCUUUGUUCCUGCCUGCCUGGAGCUCCCCACCUGGAAGAGCAUCCAAGUGUAAGGAUGUUACUGUGAUCGAGGCCAUGACAGGCUGACAGGGGUAUUUGACCCAGUCUCAGAGGUCAGACAGGACCUCCUGGUGAAAUGGGGCUCAAAUCUGAAGGGAGGGAGGGGAAAGGAGCUAACAAAGUAAGAAGAAGCAGAGAGGCUGGCAUCCUUGGAGGCCGUUUGAAUGGGUUUGACCAGGAUCGUAAGCCCAAUGGGGAGACAAUGGCGUGUUUUAAGCACAGGAGGCAACAAAACCAUAGAUGAAUGUUGAACACUUCUUUCGGGCUGCAGUUUCGGGGAAUGGCUUGCAGGCUGGUGAGGGAUUCCAGUAGCCUGGAUUGAGUUCGCUGGGCCUCAAGCGCUGAGAUUCUGUCUCUCUCUGGAGAUCUGAGUCCCCAGGGGUCCCUUUCCCAAAUGGGUGGGCUUGAGAUGGAUUCGACAUUCCCUGUCCCCAUCUAUAGGAUAGUUAGCCCCUGUGAAGUGAAGGAGGUCGUGCUGUCUGGUCCGCUGAGACUUGGAAGAACUAGAACACAUAUUGUCUUCUCUUCAGCAUUGUUCUGUCUUCUGUCACAUCAUCACACAACAUGUAUCUGCAGGACAGUUGCCCGUAAGAACACGCAUCCAAAAAGUCUUUGCUGACAGCCCAUGGGUGGACUGGAUCCGGAGGUUGGAGGUGCCAGGCUGAAGAAGACUGACUUUUAAAGUCUCUGGGUUCGUGUGGGAGGCCAGCUCUAAUUCAGGAGUUUAGUUUCAUUUAGUUGAUUAUUUUUUGUUUGGUUGGUUGGUUUUUGGUCCCAGAAGCCCUAUCCAGGAUGCUUGAAUAUUUUUCAUUGUUUUGUUCCAAACAGAGGGCAAACCAUCUCAAACGAUGUAGCCUGAAGAGAAUUACUGAGAGUGAGGUGGCUUCAUGUUCAGGAUGGCAAAUAAUGGGCAUAAUUUAAACCUAUGAAUCCUUUUUUUUUUUUUUUUUUUUUUUUUUUUUUUUUAGGGCUGCACCCACGGUAUAUGGAAGUUCCCAGGCUAGGGAUCGAAUCAGAGCUGCAGCUGCUGGCCUACACCACAGCCACAGCCACGCCAGAUCCUUAACCCACUGAGCAAGGCCAGGGAUCAAACCCACAUCCUCAUGGAUAUUAGUCACGUUCAUUACCACUGAGCCAUGAUGGGAACUCCAAACCUAUGCAUCAUUUUUCAUUCAUGCAGAUGGCAGAGCACAGCACUGCCUGCCCUCGGUUACCUGCGCCAGAGCAGGCGGGAGAUGGCGAGCCCAAGGGGAGUGAGGUCCAGAGAAACCCCAAACCUCACUGCUCCAGGAUUUGUAAUCCUGUGUCUCCUCAGAGAUCAGAGAAGCCUGAAGGAGGAGGGCUGGACUUGCCCGGACAGCCUUUACUCAACAAUCAAGGAAUUACACAGGGUACAACUUUGCCAAGACCAGGGGCUCUGCUCAAAGGUCAACAUCUGCAAAUUUAUCCAUCAGAAUAAUAAUCGUUAGCAUAUAUGAGCAUUUCCCUAUGGUAAGUACCAUAUGAAAUGCUUUACCCGUAUCACCCCAUUUAUUUCACCUGUCGGACACAGAAGCCCUUAUGGCUUCCACUUUGCUCGAGAAAAAACUGGAGAUCAGAGACACUAAGUAAGUUGGCCAAGGCUACACAGCCAGCAACAGUGGAACUGAAACACACAUUCGUCUGAUUAAAGAUAGUCAUACUUGUCUUUAAGAAUGUUUUUAAGACCUCAUCCCCUAUCACUUCUUCAUCCAGAGAGUUAAUGAGAACACAUAAAAUUUUAGGUCCCCGUGGACUGAUGAUGGCCAAGGACUUUCUCCCUGGUGGCUGUUGAGCAUUUAAUCAGCAUCUGUGGGAUUUGAAAGGUUGGUGAUGCAGCUAUAAAAUCACCUGAAAUUACUAUAAACUAGGCCACAUUUCCCCUCCCUGAGAUUUCUGUCCUGUGCUUUUAAAGCCAUAUCUACUCCACUUCCUUGAACUCCCAGCCCUGCAUCCUUUAUAAAGUCCUUGAUCUUAAGCUGUAGCGGCAACUAGGUCCCAUGCCUGCUUUUCUUGUUCUUAACAGGGCUUAACCUCUUCCUGAAUUUGCUGGAAAUCAGCCUACUUUGUUGACCUUGACCCUUUCAGAGACCUGAGGCAGCACUUUCCUUUGACCUGUCACGAAACCGAUUUUCUCACUGCUCACCAUUGCCUUUCGGGGAUGCCAUCUACCCUGUGCCCUGAAGAGCUAAAUUUAUUUUAGAGCAAAAUUUCCAACAUGUCACCAUGGGGCUGAGCCUGCUCUGCAGAUGGGUAUUCUUUGGGUCUGCACGGCUUGUUGACAAAAUUCUGAAUUGCAUGCCAGUGUUUAAACAUCUGGGUGAUUCAAAUAAGAAACCAUUUCCGGGUCUGGUUUGCCUUGAAAAAUUUAAAGAUGGGCCGGCCCUGUUCUGCAUCAGCUCCGGUCCCCAGUGCACUGAUCCUCUCACUUAGCACCACGGGGCCACCUCUACACCUGUUUGGCUCUUGGGAUUCACCUGCCUGGUCACAAUAGCCCUUGGAACCAUGACACCUGGUGUAUGCAGUCACCCUAUAUUUCCAUUCCAGACUGAACGCUUUAUUCAUUUUUCACCAGUCAUGCUUGACCCUUUCCAGCUUUAGAGUUUGUUCCUUAAGGGGCCAGGUGGAAGCAAAAUACAAGCAGAGAACUUCUGCUUUCUUGCUGUCAUCUGUUCGAGUUGCAUCAUCUGCUUCCAAUCCCUUCCUUUUCCUCCUUGCUCCAAACAUAGCUCAAAAAGCGCUUUUUUAUCGUCCUUAGCAUUUUUUUGCCAGCCUCAGCUCGUUCUAGGGUUUUGUCCCCUCACACUCUUCUUCAGGAAGCAGUGUCAGUUUGCAUUUGUUUUAGGGCGGGAUGGUGCAUGGUAGAAAAACACGUUGGCACAACAGCUCAAUUAGAAAUAGAACCACAUUUCCCUGUUCAGGAAUCUCUACUACGCCAGGAAUAAAAGGAAAAGGUUACACAGUUUAGAAAAGAAAAAUCUUAAUGAACGAAUGUUCAUGAAUUAG
rnacentral:lncRNA from 1 species